rnacentral:snoRNA from 1 species
AUUGAUCACAUGAUGAAAUAUAUUCGGAUGUAAACUCACAGACCUGUUCGGAAUGCGCAAAACCGUGUCGAUAUUUUCCGUUGCCUUCCUUCUGAUUGAUCAA